rnacentral:lncRNA from 1 species
GUGCCCCUCUAAUAGGCUGGCCCACAGAACCCGCCACUGCAGUGACCAAUCUAUAACCCACCAAUUCAAUAAAAAUUCAAUAGCAUGACAUGGCAAUUUUAUCAUUAUCCAGCCUAUCAAGGCAAACAACAAUUUAUACAUUUUCAACACAAAUACCCAUUCAGCCAUUCAUGCCUACAUUAUCAUAAGCCAUUCAAUUCAAAACAUAAUUUACAGUACAGCAAGUAGUCUCCAAUUACUCCAUUUUCAAAUCAUCAUUAAAUUUCAAAACAAUUUAUAAAAUCAUUUCAUUUAAACACAUUUCCCAUAAAAUUACAAACUCGGAUAAAAACAUACUUUAGAUAAUUAAGACGAUAAUAAGGUUACUCACAAUAUCGGGAGUUUGAAUUUUUGGAGUAUUCCGACUAUUGAUCUUCGAGUACAACUUUUUUGCCCUUACUAGAGGAUUCACCACCUAAACAUAAUGCAUAAUCAAGCAAUUUACCACAUUGGUGCUAAACCGUUAUAAAACUAAUCUAGGCUCUAUAUGAAUGCAUGAAAUGGAAUGUGAAUUGUUUGGAUCAUCGUCUAAAC